UACAGAGGUCUCAAGCGUUGUUCGGAUUCAUUGGGCGUAAAGGGUGCGUAGGCGGCGCGGUAAGUCGGGUGUGAAAUCUUGGAGCUUAACUCCGAAACUGCAUUCGAUACUGCCGUGCUUGAGGACUGGAGAGGAGACUGGAAUUUACGGUGUAGCGGUGAAAUGCGCAGAUAUCAGGAAGAACACCCGUGGCGAAGGCGGCUCUCUGGUACGUGACUGACGCUGAGACGCGAAAGCGUGGGGAGCGAACAGG
rnacentral:rRNA from 1 species